AACUUUAGAGGCAUUAAUUUCUUUCCCAAAAAAUUUCUUUUCCAAAAGGACUGUCCUAUGGCUAACAAGCACCUUUCAUUUAUCAGCAAGAUAGAAAUAAUACCCCUUAGUUUCUUUGGGAUAUCCUAUAAAAAUAUAUUUGUUAGACCUGACUUUGAGUUUAUCCAUUUUCAAAUGUUGGACAUAAGCUGGACACCCC
rnacentral:lncRNA from 1 species